rnacentral:rRNA from 1 species
GCAAGUCGAACGGUAACAGAAAGCAGCUUGCUGUAUGCUGACGAGUGGCGGACGGGUGAGUAAUGUCUGGGAAACUGCCUGAUCGAGGGCGAUAACUACUGGAAACGGUAGCUAAUACCGCAUAACGUCGCAAGACCAAAGAGGGGGACCUUCGGGCCUCUUGCCAUCGGAUGUGCCCAGAUGGGAUUAGCUAGUAGGUGAGGUAACGCCUCACCUAGGCGACGAUCACUAGCUGGUCUGAGACGAUGACCAGCCACACUGGAACUGAGACACGGUCCAGACUCCUACGGGAGGCAGCAGUGGGGAAUAUAGCACAAUGGGCGCAAGCCUGAUGCAGCCAUGCGGCGUGUAUGAAGAAGGCCAUCGGGUUGUAAGGUACUAUCAGCGGCGAGGAAGGGAGUAAAGUUAAUACCUAUGCUCAUUGACGUUACCCGCAGAAGAAGCACCGGCUAACUCCGUGCCAGCAGCCGCGCUAAUACGGAGGGUGCAAGCGUUAAUCGGAAUUACUGGGCGUAAAGCGCACGCAGGCGGUUUGUUAAGUCAGAUUUGAAUUCCCCGGGCUCAACCUGCGAACUGCAUCUGAUACUGGCAAGCUAGAGUCUCGUAGAGGGGGGUAGAAUUCCAGGUGUAGCGGUGAAAUGCGUAGAGAUCUGGAGGAAUACCGGUGGCGAAGGCGGCCCCCUGGACGAUAACUGACGCUCAGGUGCGAAAGCGUGGGGAGCAAACUGGAUUAGAUACCCUGGUAGUCCACGCCGUAAACGA